AUACGGAGGGUGCAAGCGUUGUCCGGAUUUAUUGGGUUUAAAGGGUACGUAGGUGGAUUCUUAAGUCCGUGGUGAAAGCCCGCAGCUCAACUGCGGAACUGCCAUGGAUACUGGGAAUCUUGAAUUCAGUUGAGGUUGGCGGAAUUUAUGGUGUAGCGGUGAAAUGCAUAGAUACCAUAAAGAACACCUAUUGCGAAGGCAGCUAACUGGACUUGAAUUGACACUGAGGUACGAAAGCGUGGGGAGCGAACAGGAUUAGAAACCCGAGUAGUCC
rnacentral:rRNA from 1 species